AGUAAUCGAACUUUUUCCGUAUAAUUCCGACGUAAAAUCGCCGUGUAAACCAAUCGAAUCCUGGAUUAUAUUCUAAAACGUCAGUGUCAUAUAAGGGUACAUUAGAAUGGGUCCCGGGUCCAAGUGGUUUUGAUAGGUAGUACACUGUCGUUGGGUCCCGAUGAAUUUUGGGUACUAUUAUGCUAGUUGAAUCCCGGAUUUUGGCAAGUUAUAUACUAGUCGGGUCCAAACUUUUACGAGCAAUAAAAAACAAUUGUCUUCUCAGUUUUACAGACUAAGGA